UGGAAACCAAGUUUCCUGUCCUGGGAAAAGCAGUGGUGUGGAAGAGCAGUGGAAAGAGAUGAGUAACAGACUAUCUUCAGCCUAUACCCACUGGAGUGCAUUAUGAAGCAUUGGGACUCCCAUGACCCCAGGACUUUGAAGAAAAAGUGCUAAUUUUCUUUGCACAAAGCUGUGAGACAAUGGAACUCGAGUGUUACUCCAGACAUCGAAGCUAUUUUAUUAUGAAAGCAUACUUCUGAUUAUGCAGUCUCCUGCUUAAAUUUUUUAAAUGGCUUUCCAUUAGAAUGAAAUGUAAAAGUCCUUUAUGCCCUGAAAGCCUACACCAGUUGACUCCUAGCUUCAUCUGUGAGUAUCUUAUUUCUUUUCUUACUAUACCAUAAUGACUGUAUCAGCUAGGGUUGAUUGUUGCAUAAGCCACAGAAGUAAAUUCUGUGCAAUUUAAGCAAAAAGGGGGAAUAUAUUACCUAUUUUUGCUUGUUGCAGAGAAUUAAGUGCAAUGCCUGUCUCGUAAUUCUGGAAGGACAGAAAUAAGCUUAGUUUUAAGAGUUAGAUGAACAAGAAUUAACUAAUAGGCUUCAUUUUACUACCAUUGGACUAACAUAGGUCUGACCGUUUUCUGCCCUUUUAAGUACAUGUUUAAAGUUUAAACACCCAAGAGAAACUAUUAUUGUCUUGGCAUGGGUCACAUGUUCAGCCAUGGGCCAAGAGGGUAUGAAAUGUGGGAGGCACAAUUCACAGAUAGAAAAUAUAAUGCUAUUUGGGAAAGAAUAUAAUGCUAUUUGAAAGGAAUUCUGAGUAAGUAAAAACAACAGAAAUUGUUUCUAAGGAUUUCUUAUUAGUCGAUGCAUCACUUUUGCAGAGAUACCUGCUCUAAACUGUUAAUCUCAGUGGUCAUCUUUUAAAAUUCUGUCAAAGCACAUUUUAACUUUUUGUUGGGAACAGACCCCCCAAAAUUUGGCCAUAAACUGGUCCCAAAACUGGUCAUAAACAAAAUCUCUGCAGUACUGUGACAUGUUCAUGAUGGCCAUGAUGCCCAUGCUGGAAGAUUGUGGGUUUACUGGAA